UCGUCUCUAUAUAAAAAUCAAAUAUGGUUCCUUAGAUCGUUUCUUCCUACUUGGAUAACUGUGGCAAUUCUAGAGCUAAUACAUGCAGUGAGCCUGAAGCCCUUUGGGCGACGGGUGCUUUUAUUAGACCAAGAUCGAUCGGGUUUCGGCCCGUAUUGUGUGGUGACUCUGGAUAACUUUGUGCUGAUCGCAUGGCCACGAGCCGGCGACGUUUCUUUCAAGUGUCUGCCUUAUCAACUUUCGAUGGUAGGUUACUUGCUUACCAUGGUUGUUACGGGUAACGGAGAAUCAGGGUUCGAUUCCGGAGAGGGAGCCUGAGAAACGGCUACCACAUCCAAGGAAGGCAGCAGGCGCGCAAAUUACCCACUCCCGGCACGGGGAGGUAGUGACGAAAAAUAACAAUACGGGACUCUUUUGAGGCCCCGUAAUUGAAAUGAGUACACUCUAAAUCCUUUAACGAGGAUCAAUUGGAGGGCAAGUCUGGUGCCAGCAGCCGCGGUAAUUCCAGCUCCAAUAGCGUAUACUAAAGCUGCUGCGGUUAAAAAGCUCGUAGUUGGAUCUCAGUUCCAGACGAGUAGUGCAUCUACCCGAUGCGACGGCUCGGACUGAACAUCAUGCCGGUCCUUUCUUGGUGCACUUCAUUGUGUGCCUCGAGAAGGCCGGUGCUUUUACUUUGAAAAAAUUAGAGUGCUCAACGCAGGCGAGUCGCCUGAAUAAACUUGCAUGGAAUAAUAGAACAAGACCUCGUUUCUGUUCUGUUGGUUUUUGGAAUACGAGGUAAUGAUUAAGAGGGACAGACGGGGGCAU
rnacentral:rRNA from 1 species